GACGAACGCUGGCGGCAUGCCUAAUACAUGCAAGUCGAGCGAACAGAUGAAGUGCUUGCACUUCUGACGUUAGCGGCGAACGGGUGAGUAACACGUAAGGAAUCUACCUAUAAGCGGGGGAUAACAUUCGGAAACGGGUGCUAAUACCGCAUAAUAUCUUCUUCCGCAUGGAAGAAGAUUGAAAGACGGCUCUGCUGUCACUUAUAGAUGACCUUGCGGUGCAUUAGUUAGUUGGUGGGGUAACGGCCUACCAAGACGAUGAUGCAUAGCCGACCUGAGAGGGUGAUCGGCCACAUUGGGACUGAGACACGGCCCAAACUCCUACGGGAGGCAGCAGUAGGGAAUCUUCCGCAAUGGGCGAAAGCCUGACGGAGCAAUGCCGCGUGAGUGAAGCAGGCCUUCGGGUCGUAAAACUCUGUUAUAAGAGAAGAACAAAUUGUAGAGUAACUGCUACAGUCUUGACGGUAUCUUAUCAGAAAGCCACGGCUAACUACGUGCCAGCCGCCGCCGUAA
rnacentral:rRNA from 1 species